rnacentral:snoRNA from 1 species
AAGACUAUAGGUUUAGGGAUCACCUCUAUAAUACAUUACUAAGGAAGUUUCUCUGAAUGUGUGAAGCACCAUGAGCAGGAGGUGCAACCCUCUCUCCUGAGCACAAAGCUGGCUCUCCCUGUUGCUUCGCUGCCACAGCCAUUUGCCAUUGAUGAUCCGUCUUCUCUUCCUGGAAAAUAGGGAGAGGAUGUAGUCUGAGUGGU